rnacentral:tmRNA from 1 species
GGGGGCGACAGGCUUCGACAGGGGCUUGUAUAGAUCUUUGGAUGCACGUCGGGCUUGCUUGUUAGCUCGUUAAAACAAUAAGCGAAACACAAAUGCUAAUCAAGAAUUAGCUCUUGCUGCUUAGUUAAAAACUAACCACAAGUGUCUCGUCGGAAGUCAGCUUGAAGCGACCGAUUGAGGCAUAACUCAGUUCAAGCUAGCGCGCGUCCACCGCCUGCGGGCGCGAGCGAAAUGUCAGUCAGGCUGGUCUGUCAGAAGGUUUUGUCGGUUUGCUGACUUUUGACGGGCGAGAUUUAAGCAAAUUGACUAAACGUGUAGAUUCCCUGGGUCGCAACCUUUGGAUGCGGGUUCGAUUCCCGCCGCCUCCAUCA